rnacentral:rRNA from 1 species
ACGCUCGACACCUACGGGCAGCAGUGGGGAAUAUUGCACAAUGGGGGAAACCCUGAUGCAGCGACGCCGCGUGGAGGAAGAAGGUCUUCGGAUUGUAAACUCCUGUUGUUGGGGAAAAAGAGGAUGGUACCCAACAAGGAAGUGACGGCUAACUACGUGCCAGCAGCCGCGGUAAUCUGAGCGGGCUGGCAAGGC